GAUGAACGCUAGCGGCAGGCCUAAUACAUGCAAGUCGAACGGGAUUGGGGAGCUUGCUCCUCAUGAGAGUGGCGCACGGGUGCGUAACACGUAUGUAACCUACCUUAAUCAGGGGGAUAGCCUCUCGAAAGAGAGAUUAACACCGCAUAAAAUCACACUACGGCAUCAUAGAAUGAUCAAAUAUUUAUAGGAUUAAGAUGGGCAUGCGGAACAUUAGCUAGUUGGUAAGGUAACGGCUUACCAAGGCUACGAUGUUUAGGGGAUCUGAGAGGAUGGCCCCCCACACUGGUACUGAGACACGGACCGGACUCCUACGGGAGGCAGCAGUAAGGAAUAUUGGUCAAUGGACGGAAGUCUGAACCAGCCAUGCCGCGUGCAGGAAGACGGCCCUACGGGUUGUAAACUGCUUUUGUACCGGAAUAAACCUCUUUACGUGUAAGGAGCUGAAUGUACGGUAAGAAUAAGGAUCGGCUAACUCCGUGCCAGCAGCCGCCGUAAGAC
rnacentral:rRNA from 1 species